rnacentral:rRNA from 1 species
UGGGGAAUCUUGCGCAAUGGGGGAAACCCUGACGCAGCGACGCCGCGUGGAGGAUGAAGGCCUUCGGGUUGUAAACUCCUUUUCUUAGGGAAAAUGAUGAUGGUACCUAAGGAAUAAGCCACGGCUAACUCUGUGCCAGCAGCCGCGGUAAGACAGAGGUGGCGAGCGUUGUUCGGAAUUACUGGGCUUAAAGGGCGAGUAGGCGGUGGAGCAAGUCUGAGGUGGAAUCCUAUGGCUUAACCAUAGAACUGCCUUGGAUACUGUUUCACUUGAGUCAGUGAGGGGAGGGCAGAAUUCCCGGUGUAGCGGUGAAGUGCGUAGAUAUCGGGAGGAAGGCCAGUGGCGAAGGCGGCCCUCUGGCGCUGAACUGACGCUGAGGCGCGAAAGCGUGGGGAGCAAACAGGAUUAGAUACCCCGGUAGUCCUAGCUGUAAACGAUGUAGACUUGGCGUCGGUGGAGUUAAAUCUACCGGUGCCGUAGCCAACGCGGUAAGUCUACCGCCUGGGGACUACGACCGCAAGGUUA